ACCGCGCUCCGCGCCCCCCGCCGCUGCCCGAGGCCGCCGCGCGCCGCCCCAGCCCGCGCAGCCCCGGCCGCGCCCGCCCCGUCCCAUCUCUUUGCCGCUGAGCGCUGCGGAUCUCGGGUCAGCGGUCGCCAGGGUCCAUCUGGGAGGUGCGGAGGGCAGGGCCCGCGGGCAGGUUGGCGCUGGCGCCGGAGACGGGGAGGACUCAGGAAAGCAGCGCGGGCCCUGCGCCCCCGGUCCGCUCUGGAGGGCCCCGGGAGCAGGGCGCUGCGGGCGUGGGGCGCGGGGCAGCGGGCGCGGGGCGGCGCCGGCCCCGGGCGGCUCUCCCACUAGGGGUAGCUGUUGCCUGAACGCCGGAGCGCUCCCCUCUCGCCGCUCGCCUCGCCCGCCGCAGCCCCGGCCGCCGGGCGCACCCGUCCCGUUCGUCCCCGGACGUUGCUCUCUUCCCCGGGAACGUCGAGACUGGAGCGCCCGAACUGAGCCACCUUCGCGGACCCGGAGUGCGGCGGCCCGACUCACCGCGGAGGCGCCGGGACGCGUAAAGUGCGUACUUUCAACCGCGAACGUGUGCUGAGGCUUUUAGGGGUGCGGGGAACUCCCCAACUCUGCGGAGCCCUGAUCGGCUCUGCUGCCGCGCCUGAGACCUUCUGAUCCCUCGCUGCGCGCGGUAUCGGGCCGGCGACUCGGGGAUUAGAGGCGGCGGGGUGGGGACGUGCUUUGACCUGGGGUCCUCCGAGGCCGUGGGCAAGUCCUGCUUUGCCUUAGCCCAAUGCAACCCUCAGGGCGAGGCUUCAGUCCGGUCUGGGGAGUUGGGCUGUCCAGAAAGCCUGAGCACAGGGACUUGUCUGGGGCUCUGGGGCUCUGGUCUCUUAAGUCCCAAGUCCCGUGAGCCGCCCAACUUCUUGAGACAGGGACAGCGCUGUGUCCCGGGCCCUGGUGAGAGCUGGCUGGGCCCUAUAGGGCGCGGGAGGCUUGCUUUCCGCGGCUAAGGAACGUGUCCAGAGAAGUGGACACCCGGCAAAGAGUCCAGCAGCGCGCAGGUGGACACUCGCCUUGGGUGGGGAUCCUCCCCUCCGGUUUCACCGCCAGGGCAGGACCCUUUGUCCCACUAGACACGUAUUUCCAUUAGGUCAAGACCCCCGAGUGUGUGUGGAGGUCGGAGGGGCUUGUGAAUGUGCCCCCUAGUCUUUCAACUAGUCAGCGGAUCUCUGCUGUUAUGGGCAGGGCACACACCCCGAAACUUCUCACCCAGAGGGAAGCCGGUCUGGUCUCUUUCCCACUCUCCCCAGUGCCUCCACCGCGCCCCUCACCCCUGGGCUGGGGUGUUUCAGGUGAAUUAGGAAAUUUUCCUUGAGCCACACCUAACUGGUGAGGGGGGUUCCACUUGGUGUCCCCCUUCAGUGGGGCCCCUCUGUUUAGCAGAUCAGCUCCUUUCCAGCCCCUUUCUUUGGGGGAGGGGAGAAGGAGCAAGUAAGAAGCCAUGCCCCCUACUGGGUAAGUUUCUGAGAGAUCUGGGGGCUUCUGAGGUCACCUCCUCCUGGGUGAGGGCAAGAGGUUUUGGUGGUCUCAACUUUUGUUGGGCGAUUUCAGAUCCUGAUUCCUUGAUUCUGGGAGGUGCCAGUCUGGGGCUAGUGGCCUGCCCCCACCCAUAAGGGAGUUGGGGCACUUUCCACAUAUAGUCUCAGAAAAUGAAAAGGCCACUAUGGGCCCAGGAAAGCCUUCCUGGGAUGUGGUGGCCGUGUGUGUGUGUGUGUGUGUGUGUGUGUGUGUUGUACCUGAGUGUGCACGUUGCACAGGUGCGUGUGUGGAAGGCAGGGUCAGGGCAGGUCCAGCCCACCUGUAGCAGUGGACCACAAUCCUUCCAGCCCUGGGAGUACCCAGGACACCCUGCUUGUCCCUAGGUCUAUCACUGCCCUAGGGUCUGCUGGUGUCCCUUGGUUGGACAGGCUACAACCUCACCCCUGGGGAUUCCAGAGCACUGGACAGAGAGCCCAGACCCUUCUGGCUCCACAGCUUCCUGGGCAGGAGCAGAAUGAAGACUCAAGGUCCAGGUAAGACUGGCUUCGGGGUCGUGGAAGCUGCCUGUUGCCUCCCACUCCAACACCCUCCCCCCACAGCUCCAUCUCCUCUGCCCUCUUCCCUUGGCCGCCCCCGACUCUCCUUCCCUUCUCUCCAGGGCCACACCCCACUCACUGUAGCUCACCCUUCCUGUUGCUUCCCCUACUGUCCUGUCUUCUCCCAGCUGUCCAGAGAGAGAGUCCUGGCCUAAGGCCAGGGCCCAGGGGGACCCAAGGGACCGGGGCCUCAGUGGGCCUGGCAGGCUCCCUCCUGGCACUUCUCCUGCCACAGGACCUGCCCCUCCUGCCUACCUUCUCCCAGCUCCAGCAGGGGCGGACAGGGGAAAGAAAAGGAGGGGCAUGCUGAACUGGGUCCAUUUGGUGUCUGGGAGCAACUUGGAGAGAGGGAGGGGGCAGGGGAUAGGGGCAGAGCCCUGGCACUGCGAGUCAGGCUGGCCUCCGGGUGGCCUGCUCCCAGGAGCAGUCGUGGUGGUGUCCAUGAAGGGGAGGGCUUGUGGACCCAGGUGCUGAGCUCUCCCUCCCACUGCUUCCAUGUGGAGCUGCCCCCAUCCAUGGUCAGAGGGGCCAUCAGGAGACCCCCCAUGGAGCUGGGGACGCCCUGUGGCCCUCCAUGCUCCACCCUUGAGGCUUCAGGGGGAUGGUGUGGCCCACACAUCCAAGAAGAGUUGGAGAACGACAUGUGGGUGCCCCAUGCCUGGCCCUGCCUCCUCACGCACUGGUGAGGACAGGGCAGCUCUCCUUGGCCACCCACUUCUGCCCUCCCCUGCACCAGCCUCUGGAUGCCCCAGGGUUCCUGGGGCUUACCUGCCUCUGAGCUUCCACUUGGGCUGUUCCCUCUGCCCUUCCCCUGGAGACUCCCAUUCUUGCUCCAUUCCCACCAUGGGCCUCCACCUGGGCCCACUUGCCCACAGGGGCAGCAGAGCCCCUGACCAUGCCCUCGCACAUGCAGCCGGAGGACACCCCUCUGCUGUGCGUCCCUGUGGCCAUGGCCUUGAUGGGUGUGGCUCCCCAUGGCUUCUGUGUCUGCCUCCUGCACACCCAGCGGCUCCCAGGCUGGACACCAGGACUCUGGACAGGCACCCAGUGUGUUGGGGGUGGGGGGGCUGCCCAAUAAAGAUUUGUGAAAC
rnacentral:lncRNA from 1 species